rnacentral:rRNA from 1 species
AGAGUUCGAUCAUGGCUCAGGAUGAACGCCGGCGGUGUGCCUAAUACAUGCAAGUCGAGCGCACUGGCCCAACUGAUAUGACGUGCUUGCACUGAUUUGACGAUGGAUUACCAGUGAGCGGCGGACGGGUGAGUAACACGUGGGCAACCUGCCCUGGAGCGGGGGAUAACAUUUGAAAACAGAUGCUAAUACCGCAUAACAACCAAAACCACAUGGUUUUGGUUUCAAAGAUGGUUUCGGCUAUCACUCCAGGAUGGGCCCGCGGUGCAUUAGCUAGUUGGUAAGGUAACGGCUUACCAAGGCCAUGAUGCAUAGCCGAGUUGAGAGACUGAUCGGCCACAAUGGAACUGAGACACGGUCCAU